rnacentral:rRNA from 1 species
AGCUAAAUACCGGCCAGAGACCGAUAGCGCACAAGUAGAGUGAUCGAAAGAUGAAAAGCACUUUGAAAAGAGGGUUAAAUAGCACGUGAAAUUGUUGAAAGGGAAGCGUUUGCGACCAGACCUUUUCCAGGCGGAUCAUCCGGUGUUCUCACCGGUGCACUUCGCCUGGUUUAGGCCAGCAUCGGUUUUCUUAGGGGGAUAAAGGCUUGGGGAACGUAGCUCUUUAGGGAGUGUUAUAGCCCCUCGCGUAAUACCCCUCGGGGGACCGAGGACCGCGCUCUGCAAGGAUGCUGGCGUAAUGGUCGUCAACGACCCGUCUUGAAACACGGACCAAGGAGUCGAACAUUUGUGCGAGUGUUUGGGUGUUAAACCCUCACGCGUAAUGAAAGUGAACGGAGGUGAGAGCCCUCACGGGUGCAUCAUCGACCGAUCCUGAUGUCUUCGGAUGGAUUUGAGUAAGAGCAUAACUGUUCGGACCCGAAAGAUGGUGAACUAUGCGUGGAUAGGGUGAAGCCAGAGGAAACUCUGGUGGAGGCUCGCAGCGGUUCUGACGUGCAAAUCGAUCGUCAAAUCUGCGCAUGGGGGCGAAAGACUUAUCGAACCAUCUA